rnacentral:rRNA from 1 species
CGGACGGGUGAGUAACACGUGGGUAACCUGCCUGUAAGACUGGGAUAACUCCGGGAAACCGGGGCUAAUACCGGAUGCUUGAUUGAACCGCAUGGUUCAAUCAUAAAAGGUGGCUUUCAGCUACCACUUGCAGAUGGACCCGCGGCGCAUUAGCUAGUUGGUGAGGUAACGGCUCACCAAGGCGACGAUGCGUAGCCGACCUGAGAGGGUGAUCGGCCACACUGGGACUGAGACACGGCCCAGACUCCUACGGGAGGCAGCAGUAGGGAAUCUUCCGCAAUGGACGAAAGUCUGACGGAGCAACGCCGCGUGAGUGAUGAAGGUUUUCGGAUCGUAAAACUCUGUUGUUAGGGAAGAACAAGUACCGUUCGAAUAGGGCGGUACCUUGACGGUACCUAACCAGAAAGCCACGGCUAACUACGUGCCAGCAGCCGCGGUAAUACGUAGGUGGCAAGCGUUGUCCGGAAUUAUUGGGCGUAAAGCGCGCGCAGGCGGUUUCUUAAGUCUGAUGUGAAAGCCCCCGGCUCAACCGGGGAGGGUCAUUGGAAACUGGGGAACUUGAG